rnacentral:rRNA from 1 species
GGCGUCGAGCGGCGGACGGGUGAGUAAUGCUUGGGAAUAUGCCUUUUGGUGGGGGACAACAGUUGGAAACGACUGCUAAUACCGCAUAAUGUCUACGGACCAAAGCGGGGGACCUUCGGGCCUCGUGCCAAAAGAUUAGCCCAAGUGAGAUUAGCUAGUUGGUGGGGUAAAGGCCUACCAAGGCGACGAUCUCUAGCUGGUUUGAGAGGAUGAUCAGCCACACUGGGACUGAGACACGGCCCAGACUCCUACGGGAGGCAGCAGUGGGGAAUAUUGCACAAUGGGGGAAACCCUGAUGCAGCCAUGCCGCGUGUGUGAAGAAGGCCUUCGGGUUGUAAAGCACUUUCAGUCGUGAGGAAAGGGGUGUAGGUAAUAUCUGCAUUCUGUGACGUUAGCGACAGAAGAAGCACCGGCUAACUCCGUGCCAGCAGCCGCGGUAAUACGGAGGGUGCGAGCGUUAAUCGGAAUUACUGGGCGUAAAGCGUGCGUAGGCGGUUUGAUAAGUCAGAUGUGAAAUCCCGGAGCUUAACUUCGGAACUGCAUUUGAAACUGUUUGACUAGAGUACUGUAGAGGGUGGUGGAAUUUCCAGUGUAGCGGUGAAAUGCGUAGAGAUUGGAAGGAACAUCAGUGGCGAAGGCGGCCACCUGGACAGAUACUGACGCUGAGGCACGAAAGCGUGGGGAGCGAACAGGAUUAGAUACCCUGGUAGUCCACGCCGUAAACGAUGUCAACUAGCUGUUUGUGUCCUUGAGACGUGAGUAGCGUAGCUAACGCGCUAAGUUGACCGCCUGGGGAGUACGGCCGCAAGGUUAAAACUCAAAUGAAUUGACGGGGGCCCGCACAAGCGGUGGAGCAUGUGGUUUAAUUCGAUGCAACGCGAAGAACCUUACCAUCCCUUGACAUCCAGAGAAUUUUCUAGAGAUAGAUUAGUGCCUUCGGGAACUCUGAGACAGGUGCUGCAUGGCU